rnacentral:rRNA from 1 species
AGAGUUUGAUCAUGGCUCAGGACGAACGCUGGCGGCAGGCCUAACACAUGCAAGUCGAGCGGCACCUUCGGGUGUAGCGGCGGACGGGUUAGUAACGCGUGGGAACGUACCCUUUUCUACGGAAUAGCCUCGGGAAACUGAGAGUAAUACCGUAUACGCCCUUCGGGGGAAAGAUUUAUCGGGGAAGGAUCGGCCCGCGUCUGAUUAGAUAGUUGGUGGGGUAAUGGCCUACCAAGUCUACGAUCCAUAGCUGGUUUUAGAGGACGAUCAGCAACACUGGAACUGAGACACGGCCCAGACUCCUACGGGAGGCAGCAG